GAUGAAGAACGUAGUGAACUGCGAUAAGUAAUGUGAAUUGCAGAAUUCAGUGAAUCAUCGAGUCUUUGAACGCACAUUGCGCCCCCUGGCAUUCCGGGGGGCAUGCCUGUCCGAGCGUCAUUGCUGCCAUUCAAGCCCGGCUUGUGUGUUGGGUCGUCGUCCCCCCCGGGGGACGGGCCCGAAAGGCAGCGGCGACACCGCGUCCGGUCCUCGAGCGUAUGGGGCUUUGUCACCCGCUCGAUUAGGGCCGGCCGGGCGCCAGCCGGCGUCUCCAACCUUCUAUUUUACCAGGUUGACCUCGGAUCAGGUAGGGAUACCCGCUGAACUUAAGCAUAUCAAUAAGCGGAGGA
rnacentral:misc_RNA from 1 species